UACGAAGGGGGCUAGCGUUGUUCGGAAUCACUGGGCGUAAAGCGCACGUAGGCGGACCUUCAAGUCAGGGGUGAAAUCCCGGGGCCCAACCUCGGAACUGCCUUUGAUACUGUCGGUCUUGAAUCCGGUAGAGGUGGGUGGAAUUCCUAGUGUAGAGGUGAAAUUCGUAGAUAUUAGGAAGAACACCGGAUGGCGAAGGCGGCCCACUGGACCGGUAUUGACGCUGAGGUGCGAAAGCGUGGGGAGCAAACAGGG
rnacentral:rRNA from 1 species